UACGUAGGGGGCUAGCGUUGUCCGGAAUCAUUGGGCGUAAAGAGCGUGUAGGCGGCCCGGUAAGUCCGCUGUGAAAGUCGGGGCUCAACCCUCGAAUGCCGGUGGAUACUGUCGGGCUAGAGUGCGGAAGAGGCGAGUGGAAUUCCUGGUGUAGCGGUGAAAUGCGCAGAUAUCAGGAGGAACACCAAUUGCGAAAGCGGCUCUCUGGGACGGUACUGACGCUGAGACGCGAAAGCGUGGGGAGCAAACAGG
rnacentral:rRNA from 1 species